rnacentral:rRNA from 1 species
UACGGAAGGCAGCAGUGGGGAAUAUUGCACAAUGGGCGCAAGCCUGAUGCAGCCAUGCCGCGUGUAUGAAGAAGGCCUUCGGGUUGUAAAGUACUUUCAGUCGUGAGGAAGGUGUUAAGGUUAAUAACCUUAGCAAUUGACGUUAGCGACAGAAGAAGCACCGGCUAACUCCGUGCCAGCAGCCGCGGUAAUACGGAGGGUGCGAGCGUUAAUCGGAAUUACUGGGCGUAAAGGGCACGCAGGCGGUUAAUUAAGUUGGAUGUGAAAUCCCCGGGCUUAACCUGGGAAUGGCAUUCAAGACUGGUUAGCUAGAGUCUUGUAGAGGGGGUUAGAAUUCCAUGUGUAGCGGUGAAAUGCGUAGAGAUGUGGAGGAAUACCGGUGGCGAAGGCGGCCCCUGGGACAAAGACUGACGCUCAUGUGCGAAAGCGUGGGGAGCAAACAGGGAUUUAGAUACC